rnacentral:misc_RNA from 1 species
UGAUACGAUUAGAUUCAAUCAACGGUUGCCCCAUUUGAAUACUUUGCCCCCGCCGAAGGGAAAACUUAAGGUCUGGCGGAGCUUCAAAUAAUAGUACGAUCGUAGAUCCCAUCCUAAAUUCCCCGAGCAUCUGACCCUUCGACAUAUUGGUGCAGCCCAAACUAGCGUCAUCGCAUCGCUUUUCCUUUGGCCAUUUUCUAGUAUUUGUUGCUAAGUUUCGAUCACAGUAAACUUUUAUUGAACCAACAUUUGUCGCUCCGACUGCUGCGUACGACAUAAAACCACCAGCCCAUUCACCGAUGUACACUACACGUUCAUUUAGGGAAAAUAAGUUCGGUAACCAACCAGCGACUCGAGGAUUCACACUGAGCAGUUUUCCUGCAUCCUGAAAGCGAAAUUCACCUUGGAAAUGUCUGCGAAAUCGUAUCUGCCAGUCGGUAGGACUGUGAAAACGAUGAUAAUCUCCAGGUGCCAAAUAUAUGAUUAAUUGAUAGAGAUGAUUGGUAGGAUUUUUCAAGAGUGAUCUGAGGUAUUUACAGUCGUCAUUCUCAAUUUUCUCUAGGCUUGUAGUCGAUCGAGGCCAAUUCGGAUCGCCAAGAAAGUGUCGAAGACUAUAGGUUACACCUUUUACUUGUUCUACGCGACAAGAAGUCACAGGUCCAAAGUGCAGCACCUUACCAUCUGCGGGGGAAAC